UCCCCUGUAGCUCAGCUGGCAGAGCGAAUCGCUGUUAACGAUUGGGUCCCUGGUUCGAGCCCAGGUGGGGGAG
rnacentral:tRNA from 1 species